rnacentral:rRNA from 1 species
AGAUUGAACGCUGGCGGCAGGCCUAACACAUGCAAGUCGAGCGGCAGCACGGGUACUUGUACCUGGUGGCGAGCGGCGGACGGGUGAGUAAUGCCUAGGAAUCUGCCUGGUAGUGGGGGAUAACGCUCGGAAACGGACGCUAAUACCGCAUACGUCCUACGGGAGAAAGCGAGGGGACCUUCGGGCCUUGCGCUAUCAGAUGAGCCUAGGUCGGAUUAGCUAGUUGGUGAGGUAAUGGCUCACCAAGGCGACGAUCCGUAACUGGUCUGAGAGGAUGAUCAGUCACACUGGAACUGAGACACGGUCCAGACCU